GCCUUCCCAGUACUUAGCACAGGCUGUUUGCUUACAAUAACUGUACAGAAAGAGGAGGCCGAAUAAAUCUAUUCUAUAUACCAGGCCCUAUGCCUGGCCUGUAUUGUGAACAGAGGGACAUGG